rnacentral:tRNA from 1 species
AUUUUCGUAGUUGAAUACAACGGCGGUUUUUCGAAUCGCAGGUUCGGUAGAGUUAUCCGACGAAAAUA